UGCUUUUAAGUUAUGAUAUAUA
rnacentral:siRNA from 1 species